UCUGAAAACACCCUGGAGGAAUUCCGAAG
rnacentral:piRNA from 1 species